CGAUGAUUACUAGGUGUUGGAGGAUUGACCCCUUCAGUGCCGCAGUUAACACAAUAAGUAAUCCACCUGGGGAGUACGACCGCAAGGUUGAAACUCAAAGGAAUUGACGGGGGCCCGCACAAGCAGUGGAGUAUGUGGUUUAAUUCGACGCAACGCGAAGAACCUUACCAAGUCUUGACAUCCUGCGACGGUGCUGGAAACAGUACUUUCCUUCGGGACGCAGAGACAGGUGGUGCAUGGCUGUCGUCAG
rnacentral:rRNA from 1 species